UCCAUUGCUCAGUUUGUAGAGCACAAGGCUCUUAACCUUAUUGUCGUGGGUUCAAGCCCCACGAAGGAG
rfam:Triticum aestivum genome assembly, contig: Triticum_aestivum_CS42_TGACv1_scaffold_641062_T_6DL-0.130030_7DL-0.105862